UCCCUGGUGGCUCAGAUGGUAAAGAAUCUGCCUGCAAUGCAGAAGACCUGGGUUUGAUCCCUGGGUAGGGAA
rnacentral:tRNA from 1 species